CUCUGUGCUGUCCCCGCUGUCCCUGGCCCUGCUCCCGCUGCAGCUCCGGCCGUCGAGGAAGUGAUUGCAGGAGAGGAUGAAGAGGAGGAAGAUGAGGAGGAUGAAGGGGUCGAGAUUGGGGUCUGAUUCACCGGAGCUGGUGGGAUCAGUGCAACCGGAACGGCCAUGGUUGCUGGAACAUAGAAAAAUUGGGGGAAAAGAAAAAAAGACAAAAAAAAAUCCCCACUGUAUUUCUCCUCUUGAACAAGAACAGGAAUCAACACACGUUCAUUUAAAAGAAAAGCUCUGUGAUGUUGUCCCUGUGAUGUCGGUUCCUGGAUGCAACUGACUUAAUCCUGGAGUAGGCUGAUAACGGGGACAGAUCGUUCGAACUAAACGGAUAGAAGUUUUCAAAAGAAACUUUUUUUAAAAAUCGGUGCUUUCUGAGGUUGAUUGCAGCCCCCUGGCAGGGACAUUCAAGCAUGGAAAGGUUUUAAUUUGCAUUUGAAUAGCUGGAACGACCCGUAAACACUUCCAGGAACGAUUUUUACAAUGUGCGCUAAAGAUUUCUGAACAUUUCAUGCAAUUUUCAGAAUCUUAAUCAGUCUGAUUUCAAGUGGCGCGGGAUAAAAAUGACAUUUGUUGAACACACUACUGAACUGUUUCUUCAUUGGCCAAAUACAGGCUCUAAAGAUCAAGAUCCGUAUAUUUGAGUUAUAAAGCUGGACAGCAGAGUGCAAUCGAAUUAAUGCUGACUCGUUCUUUAUGCAAAGGGAACAAUGCGCAUAUUAAUGCAGACAGUUUUGCAAGUGACAGGAACAUUGCUAAACUGUAAUGAUUUAAACAAAAAGUGUAUUCAAUGCAUAAUGAGAGUCUCGCUUUCGCAGCCUUCAGAGUCCAAACGCUCCGUCUUAGUGUUUUGUGAAAGGAAGUGAGACACUGGCAAGCACUAUCCAAAUGCAUUAAAACAGUAUACAAACAUGAGAGAGUUUAUCGAUUUUGCUUUCGUUUUAUCGUCUUGCAACAAAGCGACCUUUCUGGAGAAUUAAUCAUACUAAACACAGCUCUGCUGCAUUUGAAAUCACCUCUCAGCCUUUCGACAAUACCUUCUUGAUUAUACAAAGUCCUUCUUUUCUCAUUCGUCAGUGCGCAUUUAUUAGAAAAGUGCAUCCACUCUUAACGCAGUAACAUUGAUCCAUUUCUUUUCGUUGGAGGAGGCAAAGGUGGAGAGAAUGAGGUGGUGUAUGAAUAUUCAAUACCCCUGGAGGAUUCACAUUGUACCUGUUGAUCAAUGUGCAGUCAAUGUGUCUUAUGAGGUACAGGCAUCAAAGAAGGAUUGGCUCUUGAGAUGUUCAGGUAGAUGUGAAGAAGCAUGUCAAAGUAUUUCUGCUGGAACACGAAUUGGCUGUAAUAUGAUGGAUGAAUAGUGGA